AACGAACGCUGGCGGCAUGCCUAACACAUGCAAGUCGAACGAGACCUUCGGGUCUAGUGGCGCACGGGUGCGUAACGCGUGGGAACCUGCCCUUAGGUUCGGAAUAACUCCCCGAAAGGGGUGCUAAUACCGGAUAAUGUCUUCGGACCAAGGAUUUAUCGCCUUUGGAUGGGCCCGCGUUGGAUUAGCUAGUUGGUAGGGUAAAAGCCUACCAAGGCGACGAUCCAUAGCUGGUCUGAGAGGAUGAUCAGUCACACUGGGACUGAGACACGGCCCAGACUCCUACGGGAGGCAGCAGUGGGGAAUAUUGGACAAUGGGCGAAAGCCUGAUCCAGCAAUGCCGCGUGAGUGAUGAAGGCCUUAGGGUUGUAAAGCUCUUUUACCCGGGAUGAUAAUGACAGUACCGGGAGAAUAAGCUCCGGCUAACUCCGUG
rnacentral:rRNA from 1 species